GAGGUGUCAGGUUAAGUCCUAUAACGAGCGCAACCCCUGAUUGUUAGUUGCCAGCGAUUAAUGUCGGGAACUCUAAGCAAAGACUGCCGGUGUAAACCGGUGAGGAAGGGUGGGGAUGACGUCAAAUCAUCACGGCCCUUACGUCCUGGGCUACACACGUGCUACAAGUGGCCGGCUACAGAGAGCAGCCACUGGGUGACCAGGAGCGAAUCUACAAAGCCGGUCACAGUUCGGAUCGGAGUCUGCAACUCGACUCCGUUGAAGCUGGAAUCGCUAGUAAUCGGAUAUCAGCCAUGAUCCGGUGAAUACGUUCCCGGGCCUUGUACACACCGCCCGU
rnacentral:rRNA from 1 species